AUGGAGGACUGUUUCCUGAUCCUGGGAGAGAAGACUACAAUGCUGGCUGUUCUGACUCACAGUGUGUCUGGAGAAAUCGUCAUCAUCAUCGUCUUCAUCACAAGCAAUGAGGCUUCACAGACUCUCCAUAUGGCUAUGAGAGCCAGAGUCAGUAAAGCAAACAAAACCCAGGAUGACGGUUCCUGUCCGCUCCAUUGUCAGUUAUUCCUGGAGAAAAACUAAACAGGAGAUGGAAACACCUUCACAUGGUCCCAAAUUCUUUAUAUAAAUAGCCUCUCUAUAUAAACAUCACAUAAACUUGCAAAAAAACUAAGAACAACAGUAACAAAGUUGCAACAAAAAAUAAAUAAAUAAAUAAAUAAAUAAAAGGUAAGGUA
ensembl:lncRNA